rnacentral:rRNA from 1 species
CCAGACUCCUACGGGAGGCAGCAGUGGGGAAUAUUGCACAAUGGGGGGAACCCUGAUGCAGCGACGCCGCGUGGGUGAAGGAGUAUUUCGGUAUGUAAAGCCCUAUCAGCAGGGAAGAACAAUGACGGUACCUGACUAAGAAGCACCGGCUAAAUACGUGCCAGCAGCCGCGGUAAUACGUAUGGUGCAAGCGUUAUCCGGAUUUACUGGGUGUAAAGGGAGCGCAGGCGGCGCGUUAAGCCUGGUGUGAAAGCCCGGGGCCCAACCCCGGGACUGCUCUGGGAACUGCGCGGCUAGAGUGCAGGAGGGGCAGGCGGAAUUCCUGGUGUAGCGGUGAAAUGCGUAGAUAUCAGGAGGAACACCAGUGGCGAAGGCGGCCUGCUGGACAUUAACUGACGCUGAGGCGCGAAAGCGUGGGGAGCAAACAGGAUUAGAUACCCGAGUAAG